rnacentral:rRNA from 1 species
GAUGAACGCUGGCGGCGUGCUUAACACAUGCAAGUCGAGCGAGAAGUUUUGAAAAGAUUCUUCGGAUGAAAUUUAAAAUGGAAAGCGGCGGACGGGUGAGUAACGCGUAGGCAACCUGCCCCAUACAAAGGGAUAGCAUUUGGAAACGAAUAUUAAUACCUUAUGAAACUUAACUAGUGCAUGCUAGGUAGGUCAAAGAUUUAUCGGUAUGGGAUGGGCCUGCGUCUGAUUAGCUAGUUGGUGAGGUAACGGCUCACCAAGGCGACGAUCAGUAGCCGACCUGAGAGGGUGAACGGCCACAUUGGAACUGAGACACGGUCCAAACUCCUACGGGAGGCAGCAGUGGGGAAUAUUGCACAAUGGGGGAAACCCUGAUGCAGCAACGCCGCGUGAACGAUGAAGGCCUUUGGGUCGUAAAGUUUCUGUUCUAGGUGAUGAAAACUGACAGUAACUAGGAGAAAGCCCCGGCUAA